GACGAACGCUGGCGGCGUGCUUAACACGUGCAAGUCGAACGGAAAGGCCCUGCUUUUGUGGGGUGCUCGAGUGGCGAACGGGUGAGUAACACGUGAGUAACCUGCCCUUGACUUUGGGAUAACUUCAGGAAACUGGGGCUAAUACCGGAUAGGAGCUCCUGCUGCAUGGUGGGGGUUGGAAAGUUUCGGCGGUUGGGGAUGGACUCGCGGCUUAUCAGCUUGUUGGUGGGGUAGUGGCUUACCAAGGCUUUGACGGGUAGCCGGCCUGAGAGGGUGACCGGCCACAUUGGGACUGAGAUACGGCCCAGACUCCUACGGGAGGCAGCAGUGGGGAAUAUUGCACAAUGGGCGGAAGCCUGAUGCAGCAACGCCGCGUGCGGGAUGACGGCCUUCGGGUUGUAAACCGCUUUCGCCUGUGACGAAGCGUGAGGGACGGUAAUGGGUAAAGAAGCACCGGCUAACUACGU
rnacentral:rRNA from 1 species